UCACUUUAGGUAGUAUAACUGCUAAAAUUUGAAUGAUUCAAAGAAGAUUACCGUGGCCCCAGUGCCAGAAUGACACGCAAAUUAGACAAGUGUUUUGUGCUUCU